rnacentral:rRNA from 1 species
UACGGGGGGGGCAAGCGUUGUUCGGAAUUACUGGGCGUAAAGGGCUCGUAGGUGGCCAACUAAGUCAGACGUGAAAUCCCUCGGCUUAACCGGGGAACUGCGUCUGAUACUGGAUGGCUUGAGUUCGGGAGAGGGAUGCGGAAUUCCGGGUGUAGCGGUGGAAUGCGUAGAGAUCCGGAAGAACACCGGAGGCGAAGGCGGCUUGCUGGGCAUGGUCUGACGCUGAGGCGCGAAAGCGUGGGGAGCGAACAGG